CUGUAAGGGCGCUUUUAGUGUCACGCGGAUUUGCUCACGCACGCGGGAUUGGACCGCAUGCGUAAAAUUUCACGCUGCGGAUCAUACGCAGCAUGAGUUUCAGUUUUCUACGGGCUGCGUAACGGUAUAGACGUGUUCAAAAAUGAUCAAUGUCAGAAGAAUAUGUGUCGCUUACAUACUUUACAAACGACGAAACAAGAAGACAAGAGUACAUGUUGAUCCCUUUCUUGAAAAUAGGCUUCUUGCUGGGGCGUUUGUUACACGCUUUGGAAAACUACAAAAUAAUGAACGUAAAUUUAAAAAUUACUUUCGAAUGUCCAUUCGUUCUUUUGAUGAACUGUUGUGUAAAAUUGAGAAUAAGCUACAAAAAAGCAGUUUACGAAGGAUUACAAUACAACCGAUUGAGAGGCUCGCUAUUACAUUAAGUAAAAUUUGCCAUCAUCAAAAUUAAGGUGAAAACUUCCGGAAGUCACUAGCGCUAUAUUUGGCAACUGGUAAUACAUUCACUGAUCUACACUAUUCCUAUGUGAUUGGAAUUGCAACAAUUAGCGAAAUAGUAAGACAAGUUUGUUACAUAAUAUGGAUUGAACUAAAGUCUGAAUGUAUUCCACAGCUUAAUGGGAUCAAAUGGAAAGAAAUCGCAGAGGGAUUUCUCACAUAUACAAAUUUUCCUAAUUGCUUGGGUGCAAUUGAUGGAAAACAUAUAAGAGUGAUUCGGCCGCCGCACAGUGGAUCACUAUAUUUUAAUUAUAAGAAAUAUUAUUCUGUAGUGCUCCUCGCAAUGUGUGAUGCUGAUUAUAAUUUUACAUAUAUUAAUGUCGGUACCAGUGGAAGCAACGCCGAUUCAACCAUCUUUAGAAGGAGUCAAUUGUAUACGAAACUGGAAAGUAACACGUUGGGUAUCCCUGACCCGCAAGAGUUGCCUAUUAUUUGCCCCGAAGUAGCUUAUCCAUCUAGUGUAAGAGCAAAGUUGCCGUUCGUGAUAGUGGGAGACGAGGCAUUUGGUUUAUCAUCACAUGUGAUGCGGCCUUAUGCUCGUGAUAAUUUACCUUACAAAAAGAAAAUAUUUAAUUACCGUCUGUCCAGAGCUAGAAGGUACAUAGAAUGCACUUUUGGAAUUAUGUCAAAUAAAUUUAGAAUAUUUCACAGAUCCAUGAAUGUCAAGUUAGAUCUAGCACAAUUAAUAGUCAAGACGGCAUGUGUACUUCACAAUUUCAUAAGGAAACGGGAUGGCUACAAGGUCAGCCAUACAUUUGUCACAAAUGGUUUUACGGGACCACUACCCAGGCAGCAGACUGAAAGUAGUAAUACGUCGGCAAGUAAUAUCAGAGAUAUAUUUGCAGAUUACUUUAUCAAUGAAGGAAAAGUCUCCUGGCAACACCGAUAUAUAAUUAAUUAACUAAACUCAAAAGGUUUUAGAAGGUUUUUGAUGUUAUUUGUGAAUUAAAUAAUUAUGCUUAUAUUAAUAAAGUAAUGAUGCUUGUAUAAAUAAAAUAAUGAACCAAACACAUA